UCGACCCCAUCCCACAUCCCCCCACUUUGCGCCCGGCGUAGACGGUGCGAAACGGAGGAUGCAAGCUGAUGGCGGCAAUGGAAUCUAAAAGGCGGCGAUGGAGUGGAAGCGAACGGAGCAAGGCAGAAAUCGACGAGCAUGUUUUGGAACGAGUCGAAAAUUAACUUGAAACCUCAAUCUGGAGAGGGAGAGUCCGAGAUGCCUUCGAUUGCAGCUUAGAGAGAGCUUGAGGAUAGUGAUGGUGGAGACGGUGAGCUUGAGAGAAGAAAAUAAAAUGAAGAUGGACAGAGAGAUGAAGAUCACCUUCCCCUUCCCACCACGUCGCCUAUCUUUGAAAGGAUCGUCCUUCAUUGUUUAGCCGCCACCACGACGGUCGAACUUGACCACUGGAGUUUCCUGGUCAUUGAAUGUGCUUAGUCCUCUGAGCAGAAGGUGUUCAGUGAAUUGCGCAAUAGAGAAACAGAGGGUGAGACGAUUUUGAAACAACAAACAGAGGAAGAUACGCCUAGAGAAAUCUUUAUAGUUCCUCACGACAUUCAGGCGAUGACGUAAUUCGUCGAUCAACAGUCACGCUUACCAGGUCAUUUCCAUCUCCGAUUGAACUCUAGAAUUCAUUUCGAUACAUUCCAACUUUGUCUUUUGAUUUAUGUUUCGCUUUUGUUUUCUCCCAUCCUCUUGCCGUCUUCCAGAAAUUUCGGAAUUGCUGUCAGUUGCACUGUGGAGGAGGUAUCGAGCUCGCAAGGAAGGUGUUCCAUGGAAUGACGAAGCUGGUUUCAAAGAAUACCUGUUCAAGAGGCACAGUAAAUCAGCGAGCUUAACCUGGUGGUGGGAGCCAGUUCAACUUCGAGAGCGCAAGAUUCUAAGACGAAAAGCCACUGCCGGAGGCAGCUCAGAUGCUGUGUCGUCAAGAGAGAGGUUGUGGAAGAGUUGUUGUCGCAGGGACAUGGUUACAGAGUUAUGCUACCGCAGCGAACGAGACUGACUGUGAGAGAGGAUCUGAAUACAGCGCUGGAUGAGGAUAUGCCUGCAGAUCCAGAAGUCAAGUCUUUCUAAUGGGUGAGGAGGUGGCCGGAGAAUACCAAGGAGCCUACAAGGUGUCUUAAAGGUUCUUUUUUUUUUUCUGGAGAAGUAUGGACCUGAGAGGGUUGUUGAUACUCCAAUCACAGAGGCUGGUUUCGCUGGAGUUGUAGUCGGCGCUGCUUUCUGUGGUCUCAGGCCUGUCGUGGAGUUCAUGACAUUCAAUUUCGCUAUGCCGGCAUCCCCAUCCCACCGGGAGGAAGCUUUACUGAUUCGGCCUCGUUAAAUUGCUCAUCGCCCUCAGGAUCUAUUGGACACGAGAAUCGUCCAUCGCUGUACGAAAUGAGAGUUGCUCAUGAACUGUGUAACAUCUCGGGUACUAUCACUGCGGUGUCAACAUAAGCACAGAAAAAUGAGGUAUACAUGACACAUAUGCUCAAUAUAAUGUCGUAGGCGCAGGAUGGGACCAUUGUUAUUACUCUGAUUAACUCAGCUUGUAAUGUUUGGUAUUAGCCUCAGAAAGCUUCAUGUCUCCUUCGUCCUUUCCCUGCCUUCUUUUGUCUGAAAGGGUAAGCAAUCAUUCGAAAAAUCUGGACAUGAUCGUCUUGUUUCAAAGUUGUAAUUGCUUUUGCUAUUCAAUGACACUCUUUGCCCUCAUAAACUUUGAUCGGCGACCUAUUGUUGCGUAGCUUAACCGUUGUUCUCUAAA